AUCAACUAAAGUUUAAUUU
rnacentral:miRNA from 1 species